rnacentral:rRNA from 1 species
UACGUAGGCAGCGAGCGUUGUUCGGAGUUACUGGGCGUAAAGAGUGCGUAGGCGGUGCUCCAAGUCUGGUGUGAAAUCUCCCGGCUUAACCGGGAGGGUGCGCCGGAAACUGGGGUGCUGGAGUGUGGGAGAGGUAAGCGGAAUUCCUGGUGUAGCGGUGAAAUGCGCAGAUAUCAGGAGGAACACCAAUGGCGAAGGCAGCUCGCUGGGACGUGACUGACGCUGAGACGCGAAAGCGUGGGGAGCAAACAAG